rnacentral:rRNA from 1 species
UUAGCGGCGGACGGGUGAGUAAUGCUUAGGAAUCUGCCUAUUAGUGGGGGACAACAUUCCGAAAGGAAUGCUAAUACCGCAUACGCCCUACGGGGGAAAGCAGGGGAUCUUCGGACCUUGCGCUAAUAGAUGAGCCUAAGUCGGAUUAGCUAGUUGGUGGGGUAAAGGCCUACCAAGGCGACGAUCUGUAGCGGGUCUGAGAGGAUGAUCCGCCACACUGGGACUGAGACACGGCCCAGACUCCUACGGGAGGCAGCAGUGGGGAAUAUUGGACAAUGGGCGGAAGCCUGAUCCAGCCAUGCCGCGUGUGUGAAGAAGGCCUUUUGGUUGUAAAGCACUUUAAGCGAGGAGGAGGCUACUUAGAUUAAUACUCUAGGAUAGUGGACGUUACUCGCAGAAUAAGCACCGGCUAACUCUGUGCCAGCAGCCGCGGUAAUACAGAGGGUGCGAGCGUUAAUCGGAUUUACUGGGCGUAAAGCGUGCGUAGGCGGCUGAUUAAGUCGGAUGUGAAAUCCCUGAGCUUAACUUAGGAAUUGCAUUCGAUACUGGUCAGCUAGAGUAUGGGAGAGGAUGGUAGAAUUCCAGGUGUAGCGGUGAAAUGCGUAGAGAUCUGGAGGAAUACCGAUGGCGAAGGCAGCCAUCUGGCCUAAUACUGACGCUGAGGUACGAAAGCAUGGGGAGCAAACAGGAUUAGAUACCCUGGUAGUCCAUGCCGUAAACGA